GGACUACAGGGGUUUCUAAUCCCGUUUGCUCCCCUAGCUUUCGCGCCUCAGCGUCAGAAGAGGUCCAGCACGCCGCUUUCGCCACCGGAGUUCCUGAGGAUAUCAACGCAUUUCACCGCUCCACCCACAGUUCCGCAUGCCCCUACCUCCCUCGAGGCCGACAGUAUCUAAGGCAGUUCCACGGUUGAGCCGCGGCAUUUCACCCCAGACUUGUCAGCCCGCCUACGCGCCCUUUAAGCCCAGUGAUUCCGAACAACGUUCGCACGGUUCGUCUUACCGCGGCUGCUGGCAC
rnacentral:rRNA from 3 species